rnacentral:RNase_P_RNA from 1 species
GGCGCAAGCCGGCUUAUCGCUUUGAUCCGAUUUUAAUCGGGCCGAAGAGGAAAGUCCGGGCAACGCAGAGCAUCGUACUUCCUAACGGGAAGGCCCCGACUUGUCGGGGACAGACAGUGCCACAGAAAACAAACUACCUGGCCCCGACUUUGUCGGGACCGGGAAAAGGUGAAACGGUGGGGUAAGAGCCCACCGCCAUACCAGCGAUGGUGUGGGCACGGCAAACCUUACGAGUUGAAAGGCCAAAUAGGCUCCGGUUAAGAACUGCUCGUUCAAAAGAAUACUUCGGUAUUCCAUCGGGGUUGGGUAGGCUGCUAGAUCCGAGUGGCAACAUCCGGACCAGAUAAAUGAUAAGCACCCCGAUUUUGUUGGGGAACAGAACCCGGCUUACAGGCUUGCACUUUUU